CUCACCAAUGACUUGUAGGAAGAUUUUGU
rnacentral:piRNA from 1 species